rnacentral:rRNA from 1 species
UACGUAGGGUGCGAGCGUUGUCCGGAAUUACUGGGCGUAAAGAGCUCGUAGGCGGCCGGUUGCGUCUGCUGUGAAAUCCCGGGGCUUAACCCCGGGCGUGCAGUGGAUACGGGCUGGCUGGAGGCAGGCAGGGGAGAAUGGAAUUCCCGGUGUAGCGGUGAAAUGCGCAGAUAUCGGGAGGAACACCGGUGGCGAAGGCGGUUCUCUGGGCCUGUGCUGACGCUGAGGAGCGAAAGCGUGGGGAGCGAACAGG